AACUAUAACAGUCGAUGAGGAAAGGGUUACUUGCUAUAUAUCCUAUCGGUUACCUCGAAGUGGACGUAAGUCCGGUCUCUUGGGAAUCAUGCGGAUAGCACCGCGACCUUCAUCACCACCUUCAAGCGGUGCUGAGCGUACUGUCUGAGACUG
rnacentral:snoRNA from 1 species